GGAGAAGUGACCGAGCGGCUUAAGGUGCACGCCUGGAAAGCGUGUGUACGCUUUAAAACGUACCGCGGGUUCGAAUCCCGCCUUCUCCGCCA
rnacentral:tRNA from 1 species